AAGAUGAUGAAUUUUAAUCCUUGCGCUCCGAGCUUUUCGAUGCUAUGCGGAUAAAACUCUGGUACUUGCAACUGCGCUGCAGCUGCAAGCUGAUUGC
rnacentral:snoRNA from 1 species